UGGAGAAGGGGAGCGCGUGCAAAAAAUUGAUAUGCAUUGAGAGAAUGAAUUAGAAGAGAGAAUUUGCACGUGCCCUGCUUCUCCAAC
rfam:Cicer arietinum chromosome Ca4, whole genome shotgun sequence.